GACGAACGCUGGCGGCGUGCUUAACACACGCAAGUCGAACGGUAAGGCCCUUCGGGGUACACGAGUGGCGAACGGGUGAGUAACACGUGGGUGAUCUGCCCUGCACUUCGGGAUAAGCCUGGGAAACUGGGUCUAAUACCGGAUAGGACCCUGGGAUGCAUGUCCUGGGGGGGAAAGCUUUUGCGGUGUGGGAUGGGCCCGCGGCCUAUCAGCUUGUUGGUGGGGUGAUGGCCUACCAAGGCGACGACGGGUAGCCGGCCUGAGAGGGUGACCGGCCACACUGGGACUGAGAUACGGCCCAGACUCCUACGGGAGGCAGCAGUGGGGAAUAUUGCACAAUGGGCGCAAGCCUGAUGCAGCGACGCCGCGUGAGGGAUGACGGCCUUCGGGUUGUAAACCUCUUUCAGCACCGACGAAGCGCAAGUGACGGUAGGUGCAGAAGAAGGACCGGCCAACUACGUGCCAGCCGCCGCGGUAA
rnacentral:rRNA from 1 species